rnacentral:tRNA from 1 species
GGCCGUUUGGCGCAAUGGUAGCGCGUGGACCUCCUACGUCGUCUUACACAAGCGAAAAUCAAAAGUCCAAGGUUGCGGGUUCGAGUCCCGUGAUGGUCG